CCUGCCGGACCUGACUGCUAUCGGAUUGAUACUAAGCCAUGCGAGUCAUUGUAGCAAUACAAGGCAGACGGCUCAGUAACGCGUAGUCAACCUACCCUAUGGACGGGAAUAACCUCGGGAAACUGAGUAUAAUGCCCGAUAGAUCAUAAUGCCUGGAAUGGUUUAUGGUUAAAAUGAUUCGUCGCCAUAGGAUGGGACUGCGGCCUAUCAGCUUGUUGGUGAGGUAAUGGCCCACCAAGGCGAUUACAGGUACGGGCUCUGAGAGGAGAAGCCCGGAGAUGGGUACUGAGACACGGACCCAGGCCCUAUGGGGCGCAGCAGGCGAGAAAACUUUGCAAUGUGCGAAAGCACGACAAGGUUAAUCCGAGUGAUUUCUGCUAAAGAAAUCUUUUGCCAGUCGUAAAACCGCUGGUGAAUAAGGGGUGGGCAAGUUCUGGUGUCAGCCGCCGCGGUAAAACCAGCACCUCAAGUGGUCAGGAUGAUUAUUGGGCCUAAAGCAUCCGUAGCCGGCUUUGUAAGUUUUCGGUUAAAUCUAUGUGCUCAACGCAUGGGCUGCCGAAAAUACUGCAUAGCUAGGGAGUGGGAGAGGUAGACGGUACUCAGUAGGUAGGGGUAAAAUCCUUUGAUCUAUUGAUGACCACCUGUGGCGAAGGCGGUCUACCAGAACACGUUCGACGGUGAGGGAUGAAAGCUGGGGGAGCAAACCGGAUUAGAUACCCGGGUAGUCCCAGCUGUAAACGAUGCAGACUAGAUGAUGCAUUGGCAUAAUAGCCAUUGCAGUGUCUCAGGGAAGCCGUUAAGUCUGCCGCCUGGGAAGUACGUACGCAAGUAUGAAACUUAAAGGAAUUGGCGGGGGAGCACCA
rnacentral:rRNA from 1 species